CCUACGGGUGGCAGCAGUGAGGAAUAUUGGUCAAUGGGCGCGAGCCUGAACCAGCCAAGUCGCGUGAGGGAAGACGGUCCUAUGGAUUGUAAACCUCUUUUGUCGGGGAGCAAAAGACGCCACGCGUGGCGUUCCGAGAGUACCCGAAGAAAAAGCAUCGGCUAACUCCGUGCCGGCAGCCGCGGUAAUCCGGAGGAUGCGAGCGUUAUCCGGUUUUAUUGGGUUUAAAGGGUGCGCAGGCGGAAGAUCAAGUCAGCGGUAAAAUUGAGGGGCUCAACCUCUUCGAGCCGUUGAAACUGGUUGUCUUGAGUGAGUGAGAAGUAUGCGGAAGGCGUGGUGUAGCGGUGAAAUGCAUAGAUAUCACGCAGAACUCCGAUUGCGAAGGCAGCAUACCGGCGCUCAACUGACGCUCAUGCACGAAAGUGUGGGUAUCGAACAGGAUUAGAUACCCGAGUAGUC
rnacentral:rRNA from 1 species